rnacentral:rRNA from 1 species
GAGUUUGAUCCUGGCUCAGGAUGAACGCUGGCGGCGUGCCUAAUACAUGCAAGUCGAGCGAACAGAUGAGAAGCUUGCUUCUCUGAUGUUAGCGGCGGACGGGUGAGUAACACGUGGGUAACCUACCUAUAAGACUGGGAUAACUCCGGGAAACCGGGGCUAAUACCUGAUAAUAUUUUGAACCGCAUGGUUCAAUAGUGAAAGGCGGCUUCGGCUGUCACUUAUAGAUGGACCCGCGCCGUAUUAGCUAGUUGGUAAGGUAACGGCUUACCAAGGCGACGAUACGCAGCCGACCUGAGAGGGUGACCGGCCACACUGGAACUGAGACACGGUCCAGACUCCUACGGGAGGCAGCAGUAGGGAAUCUUCCGCAAUGGGCGAAAGCCUGACGGAGCAACGCCGCGUGAGUGAUGAAGGUUUUCGGAUCGUAAAACUCUGUUGUUAGGGAAGAACAAAUUUGUUAGUAACUGAACAAGUCUUGACGGUACCUAACCAGAAAGCCACGGCUAACUACGUGCCAGCAGCCGCGGUAAUACGUAGGUGGCAAGCGUUAUCCGGAAUUAUUGGGCCGUAAAGCGCGCCGUAGCGGUUUCUUAAGUCUGAUGUGAAAGCCCACGCUCAACCCGUGGAGGGGCAUUGGAAACUGGGGAACUUGAGUGCAAAAAU